rnacentral:rRNA from 1 species
CCAGCAGCCGCGGUAAUUCCAGCUCCAAUAGCGUAUAUUUAAGUUGUUGCAGUUAAAAAGCUCGUAGUUGGAUUUCGGAUUGGACCUGCCGGUCCGUCUUUGAGAUGUGCACUGGCAGGUCUUAUCUUCUUGUCGGGGACUAGCUCCUGGGCUUUACUGUCCGGGACUAGGAGCCGACGAAGUUACUUUGAGUAAAUUAGAGUGUUCAAAGCAAGCCUAUGCUCUGAAUAUAUUAGCAUGGAAUAACAUGAUAGGACUCUGGCUUAUCUUGUUGGUCUGUGAGACCAGAGUAAUGAUUAAGAGGGACAGUCGGGGACAUUCGUAUUUCAUUGUCAGAGGUGAAAUUCUUGGAUUUAUGAAAGACGAACUUCUGCGAAAGCAUUUGUCAAGGAUGUUUUCAUUAAUCAAGAACGAAAGU